rnacentral:lncRNA from 1 species
AGAAGUGCUUAUUUCCCCUUCGCUUUCCACCACGAAUAUUUUUCCUGAGGCCUCCCAGUCAUGCUUCCUGUUUUGCCUGCAGAACUGCAUUUAUGAAGUAGGGACCUGGAAUUGAAGAGACUCCUAAAGGAGAGACAGAAGUUUGAAAGAGCAAGAAGAGUGGAUGUGGAUCCAGACAGAAAAAGAGAACAGCAAAUAUUUGAAAGAGCUUAAGACGUACUCCUCAAGGGGUUUCUCCUUUUGCGUCUUUCUCAUUUCUUUUGCUGCCACCGUGUAAGAAGUGCCUUUUGCCUCCUGCCAUGAUUCUGAGGCCUCCCCAGUCAUGUGGAACUGUACCACAGAUAGAAGCCUUGAGAAGCUUACUUUGGUCAGAAAUUUUGCCUUUGUCUGCAGGCUUCUACCAGUUCGAUUCCAUCUGUGGGUCUUAGGUUUCAGUUACCUGAAGUCAAAUGUGGUCCAAUACACAGACUGGAAUAAGAGACAUUGGAGACUCCAAAAGAAUAUUUUCUGGUAGACUGAUAUAUUUCUCCUAAAAAAUUUGGAAAAAUUUUGUGAUGAAGAAGCUACCUGGGCCUGAAGAUAUCUUUUCUGGUAAGAUUCAAAUUACAAAUUCAAUUGCUAUAAUAGAUACGUAGAUUUUCUAAUUCUUUUUGCAUCAUUUUUGAUAUGUUGGGUACUUUGAGACAUUAAUCAAUUUCAUCCAAAGAAAAAUGUUUGUAAAAAUAUAAAAAGAAAGUACACUAUAUAAUUUUCAUGCAUUAAUACAUAUGAUAAAUUUUCAUUUAUAAAUUGUUAGUGUAUAAAUGUGAGAAAUUUUGAAUAUUUUUAGUUUUUUAAUGUUUGUUACAUAUGAUUUUCAAAUGCAUAUUUAUAACAAUACCUGUUCUGUUACAGAGAUGACUCAUGUUGGGUCUUGAUUUCAAAGGUUGAUUUAUAUUCAAAGAAAAUUUUCUUCAUAGAAAGAAUUUUUAAUUACACUUUGGAAAACACUCUUGUUUCAGUCAUAAAACAAAUGAUAUUAGCUGUUGAUAGAAUGAGAGAGCAUUUCAAGAAACAUAAUCUAUAGAAUUAGAUAAAUUAUUAAAGGGUAGUUCCUAAUUAGGCUUAUAAACAUCAAUAAUUAAUAAUUCCCCAAACUCAUAACAAAAGUGCUUUAUUCUUUUCAAAGAGUUUUCUUUUUAUUUCCGUAUUAGAUGCUCACAUCAACUCUCUGAGGUAACUUGGGAAAACAUUACCCUCAUUUAUUGGGUGAGAAAUGAAUUCUUGGGGAUGUGUGCAGUUUGUUUAUUAUAUAAAUACUAUGAGAAGAAAGGUUCUCUGAAUCCCAGGGCAGCUUCAUCAUCAGAGGGCUAGCGUGGAAUUAAUGUAAAAUUCUAACAUUUCACUGUGUGAACCAUGCUUUUCUCCAGGUCCUUACAACGUAUAAUAGUUUAUAAAUCCAAGCUAACAAAUGUGCUACAAUUAAAGUAAACCAAAUGAAUCAAAAUAAAUAAAACAAAACAAACAACAACGAGAAUACAACUAUCAUGACAGAAAUCUCAUUAGGAGAGAAUCUGUGAAUCAUUUAGGGAGAAAAAUGAUGGAGUGCUCUGUAUUGAAAUAAUACGCAUCUCUACAGUCAACAGUUAAAAUAGGAAAGAAGGAAGGGAGGGAGGGAGAAAAGAAGGGAGAAAGGUAAGGUG